AGCGGCGGACGGGUGAGUAACACGUGGGUAACCUGCCCAAGAGACUGGGAUAACACCUGGAAACAGAUGCUAAUACCGGAUAACAACACUAGACGCAUGUCUAGAGUUUGAAAGAUGGUUCUGCUAUCACUCUUGGAUGGACCUGCGGUGCAUUAGCUAGUUGGUAAGGUAACGGCUUACCAAGGCAAUGAUGCAUAGCCGAGUUGAGAGACUGAUCGGCCACAUUGGGACUGAGACACGGCCCAAACUCCUACGGGAGGCAGCAGUAGGGAAUCUUCCACAAUGGACGAAAGUCUGAUGGAGCAACGCCGCGUGAGUGAAGAAGGGUUUCGGCUCGUAAAGCUCUGUUGGUAGUGAAGAAAGAUAGAGGUAGUAACUGGCCUUUAUUUGACGGUAAUUACUUAGAAAGUCACGGCUAACUACGUACCAGCAGCCGCGGUAAUACGUAGGUGGCAAGCGUUGUCCGGAUUUAUUGGGCGUAAAGCGAGUGCAGGCGGUUCAAUAAGUCUGAUGUGAAAGCCUUCGGCUCAACCGGAGAAUUGCAUCAGAAACUGUUGAACUUGAGUGCAGAAGAGGAGAGUGGAACUCCAUGUGUAGCGGUGGAAUGCGUAGAUAUAUGGAAGAACACCAGUGGCGAAAGCGGCUCUCUGGUCUGCAACUGACGCUGAGGCUCGAAAGCAUGGGUAGCGAACAGGAUUAGAUACCCUGGGUAGUCCAUGCCGUAAACGAUGAGUGCUAAGUGU
rnacentral:rRNA from 1 species